GAUGUUAGCGGCGGACGGGUGAGUAACACGUGGGUAACCUGCCUGUAAGACUGGGAUAACUCCGGGAAACCGGGGCUAAUACCGGAUGGUUGUUUGAACCGCAUGGUUCAAACAUAAAAGGUGGCUUCGGCUACCACUUACAGAUGGACCCGCGGCGCAUUAGCUAGUUGGUGAGGUAACGGCUCACCAAGGCAACGAUGCGUAGCCGACCUGAGAGGGUGAUCGGCCACACUGGGACUGAGACACGGCCCAGACUCCUACGGGAGGCAGCAGUAGGGAAUCUUCCGCAAUGGACGAAAGUCUGACGGAGCAACGCCGCGUGAGUGAUGAAGGUUUUCGGAUCGUAAAGCUCUGUUGUUAGGGAAGAACAAGUACCGUUCGAAUAGGGCGGUACCUUGACGGUACCUAACCAGAAAGCCACGGCUAACUACGUGCCAGCAGCCGCGGUAAUACGUAGGUGGCAAGCGUUGUCCGGAAUUAUUGGGCGUAAAGGGCUCGCAGGCGGUUUCUUAAGUCUGAUGUGAAAGCCCCCGGCUCAACCGGGGAGGGUCAUUGGAAACUGGGGAACUUGAGUGCAGAAGAGGAGAGUGGAAUUCCACGUGUAGCGGUGAAAUGCGUAGAGAUGUGGAGGAACACCAGUGGCGAAGGCG
rnacentral:rRNA from 1 species